rnacentral:rRNA from 1 species
GACAGACGGUGCAAACGUUGUUCGGAUUUACUGGGCGUAAAGCGCGUGUAGGCGGCUUUGCAAGUCGGAUGUGAAAGCCCACGGCUCAACCGUGGAAGUGCAUCCGAAACUGCAUGGCUCGAGUCUCGGAGAGGAAGGUGGAAUGCUUGGUGUAGAGGUGAAAUUCGUAGAUAUCAAGCAGAACACCUGCGGCGAAGGCGGCCUUCUGGACGAUGACUGACGCUGAGACGCGAAAGCGUGGGGAGCAAACAGG